rnacentral:tRNA from 1 species
GUUCGCCGCUGGCGCAGUCCCGGAACACCUUCUGCGCGUUCUGCCCGAGUUCGAGCCCCAGCGACGGAUGCCA